GACACCUGCUAAUGCUGAACGCAGACGGGCUGUGGAAAGUACAGCAAAUUAAUCAGUUGAGAGCCUGUCUGAAUUUCUGCAUGUACUGAAGAUACAAAAUGAACUUGUAUCUGUAUGUAGCUGUAGCCAUACCCAGCAUUUCAGGGUUAUAAAUAUGAGAAAUAUUUGGGGAGUUCUUCCAUGCAUGUAGCAUCUUUGAAAAAUAAAGUGGGGAGGUGAGAACAUUCACAAAAAGGAAUGAAUUUGCAGUAGAAGUAAAAAAGCAGGAGAAUAAAGCAGGAAAUCUGGGAGAGAUGGAAGGGGAAAAAUUGGACCUCAAAGGAAGAGAAGAGAAAUCUGCUAGAAUUCCGCUGAGAGCAAGAUGGGCUGUUACUUUAUGUAAGAAAGGCAGAGGAACUUCAUACAGCAAAAAUGUUACAUACCUACAGUCAUCCCUCGGCGGUCUGUCAGGCUUCUACGCAAUUGGCACAGCACAAGUAGAGCGGAACCCUUUGGAGUGCCCGCUUACUAGAGCUGCUCAUCACAGAAGUCCCGCUGACGUAUGCUUCACAGAAGACUGUAGAAGUGAAACUUCACAUCAGCAAAUUUUUUUUCAUGAAUUUUAAGAUCUAUUUAAAGUUCCACAAGUGACGCAUCGUUAUAUCUGAGUUGAUGGUAUGGCCUUCUUUGUGCUGCUGUCCUCUUCGAUAUCUGGCCCCUUUCCGUUUCCUGGUAAUGCUGGAGUAGAGUUAGGGGGAAAAUCAGAGGUGAAGUUCAGAAUCAUCUCAAGCAGACACCGUUGUAAUGUAUACAAGUUAGCUUUGUAUAUACGUUACAUGGAGAAUUACACAUUCCUGAGUAGUUAUAAUGCUGGGUGAGGGAGCUGCCUGCUCAGGGAGGCUCUGUGCUGCUCAGCCAGAACAGAUUACCGUCCUGCCUGCUGGUUAUCACGCUGUCCUUAGAAUUCUGCUAAGAAUUGUAAAAAAUUAAACUAAAAUGUAGUAACUCAGCUUUGUUCAGAAUGUCUCAUAUGCCAUGGGACACUACUGAUAAAGCCUAGAAGCAUAAUUUUUGCACCAUUUGUACUCUAUUUUUCCCUCUUAUAAAAUGCUUUUUGCCUUUUUUCCCCCCCGCUAACAGUCAUGAAUGGUUUAUUUAUAAACGUUGGAUGUCAGCUUUUCACCCAAGAUUUUCAUUAAGACAUAACUUUAACACAUAAUUUUUUACACUCUUCCUAGAUAAGUAAUGUAAAACCCAUCUAAAACUCUUUCAUUCCAUGCAGUCAUUUCCUUGUAUGUUAUAUCAUCUGUCUGAAAAUUAUGCCACUAGAAAUGAGUCUUAAGAGCCUGGAGUUGGUAAGCACUGAGUGUACUUAGUGCCUUGUUUGCUAGUUCAUUCAUAGACAGAUGAAUUAUGAUGGUAUCUGCAAUUCCUUCAGCUUUGCUGUAUUCAUUGUAGUAUCAGUCUACGUUAAAUUCCCUCUAAUUAGCCUAGUCCAAGUGCAGACUGAAGAAAUACCGCCUAUGAAAAUUUACUGAAUUACUGUAAAGCACGACUGUGUUGGCAGCUGACAAUAUCUGCUCACUCCCCUGCAAGGCCAUCCAGCUGGAAUAAAAAGGUAGGAGUUUGGCGUGGGUAUGGGCAGUUAAUCUAAAACUCAGUUCUGCAGUGAAGCCAAAACUGAAAAUCUUUGGUUCAUGGAACUUGAAGCUUGUAUAUAAUAUAUACACUCAUUUUAGUAUCGUUUUCAAACCACUCAUCUACAUUUGAUGCUAAUUGGUACAGUCAGGUUUGUUGAUGUAAACUAUCAGACCCUCUGUGUUAUUCUCAUCCUUUGCUUCCUAGAAAGUAAAUAUGGGAGAAAGUAUUUCAGCUGGUAGUGCAUGCAUAGUCUGAACUCAUCUUUAGUGCAGCAGAUUCUCGGGGUAAAUCAUCACAGCAAGAAAAUACAGAGAACCACAUAUAAAGUGCUUAGGCUGAGUUACUUUUUAUAACGUAAGAUUUUUCAGUCUGAGAGAUAAACAGCAUAGUGAAAUGUAAGCUGGAGAAUAUAUUGUAGUGAGACAGAAUUACUUAUAUAACAUUAUUAUCACGAGGCCAGGAGGAAGGAGGUGAGCUGGAGAGCUUUGUGGAGGGAGAGCGCUUAGAAAAAAAAAAGGGAGGUCAGUCGAGGUAACACACAGCACUCCUGAGGAAGAGUACAGGAUCAGCAGUGGUGAUACCAUCGUGCAAAAUAGGGAGGAGAAGCUACAGAUAAUCGCUGCUGAGAAGCUGUUACUGUUCUGGUUGCGUAGAUAUGGUGUAGUUUCUGUUCUAGGAGGUUUAUCAGACUUGCACAGACAUUCGUUAGAAUGGCAUCUUUUCAUAUGAAGGAAAAAUGUAUUUUUCCCCAUUUAACUGGUCAAAUGAUUGAUUUAUUAUAAUGUCACAGAAUAUACUGAGAAAUAGAAAAUUCAAUUAGCAAAUCAGGAUGGAAUGAAGUGUUUUCUAAGACGGGUUGUGUGUCACUGGAGUUAUGGGGACAGUCAGUAGCAGAAGAUAGACAUGCAAGCAGCAUGAAGGUACUCUAUGCAAGUGCAGAGUAUCUGAUUUGUGCUAGAUAAGACAGUAACGAUACACCAGGUACUUCAAGAUAGCUUGCUUACAAAAAGAGUAUUGCAGAGCCUGGCCAUUCAAGCAGCACCUGCGGGCAGCAGGUUGCUUUGCCUCCUCUCAGGUUACCACCAUUUCCUAGUGCCUGAGCGUGGGCCCCUCCUGGCUCUUUCAUGGUAUAAACAUCUCAUGAGUCCAGGAGGCCAUAUGGACCUAGAGGAGAUGCACUGGUUUUGGUGAGCUGUCAAGCUAGGAGUGUAUGCAUUUAGGAGGGCUGAUUGUGUUGGAAGGAAUAGUGCUGCAUCCUUACUUGAAUGAGACUUUCUCUGUCUGUACAGAUACACGCAGUCCUCACAGCUGCUGGGAUCUCGUGUGAUCUGUGGUAUUGAUUGAUUGGAUAAGUGCUGGAGCACUUCAGUGGCACACAUACACAGAGAAUCCCUCCUGUCUGGCUUGCCAGAAUGAGUGGCUUAAAUCUGUGACAAGAGGAAGCAGAAAGCAUUCUCACAUCUCUGCCUUAUCUCAGAGCGGCUCAGUGACACCAGAACAAACCAGUCUGGAAAACCCCAUAGCUGCAAGAGCUCCAUGAAAAGAACGAUCACUGCUUUCCUAAACAAGGAGUGCUAACCAGGUUUGAUUAAAAUGCAUGGUGGCUAUUCUCACACUGCCACAGUAAAACUAGCUCCUGAGAGAAACAAAUUUUCUGCUUAUGUGUCUGUCCACAGAGAUUAUUGUUCCUGUUGUUAAAACAAAAUAGCUUUUCACUUAGCUACUGACUUUGAACUAAGCAAUAAAAAUGUUUUCUGCACAUUAUGUUCAUUGAAUCUCAGAAUAAGCUUGUUGAAGUGGGGGCUUUGUCGUUGUUUGUGGAGGCAUUGCUGUGCAUGUUAAUAAUGUACUGGUUUUGGUCACUUUCUUAACUGGUAAACUGAGACACUGAGCAAGCUAAAUUGGUUAGCAAGUCAGGAGGGAGCAGCAAAUAGGUACUGGGAAGUGUGCACUCCAAAUACCCCACUAAACUGUGACUUCCUUGCAGUAUGAACUGUGAUUUGCAUCUUUCCUUCUCUCUACUUAGCACUUCAAUGGGAUGUGACAUGUUUCUACAGAACAGGGAAGAGCAGAGGUUAUAAUUUAAAAAGUGGAGUGGGUAAUAUUUGCAGAACCAGGUUAUUCAACCCCUGGAUGAAGAUUGUCCGGUCAGAUGAGCCUAAUUUAUGCAGAAAGGAAGGUGUGUUAUUUGCUGAAAGGUCUGCUCUUUGCUAUCAAGCUUGAUGGAUGGAUUAAGGGAAAAGGAAGAAUUUCAUUAAAGGCACAUUUCAAAGUCAGCAAAAGGGAUGCAUCCCUACAAAUAUUUCCACUAAACACAAGGCAAUCCAUAAUGCCACUGAAUCUGGAUCUGAGUUCUGUUUUCUCCUAUGUGUACCAAAUGGUAAAACUUUUUCCAUUCUUUUAAUGCUAGCCUAAUAUUUAGCCAUUGCCAAGUACCAUAUUUUCCUCUCCUACAAAUAAAUUAAUAAAACCCACAUCCAUUUAUGCAGUUACUCUCAUUACUGCAUACACUAAACCUAAGGAUUCUGAAAACAAGUUUAUCAGUCUUGUAUUUCUUGCAUGAGUUCAGUAGGGUUGUGUCUUUCCUUCUCUUACAAAGAAUUCAAGCAUUUUUGUUAGGGACUGGCAGGUGAUUUACCAUUUUUCUCUGAAAUGAACUAAGAUAGGCUGAAAUUCUUUUGCAACUACUGUCUUUCUCCUACUUCUGCUUUUAUGCUGCUUCUCUCUUCUGCCCUAUUUUUGGAAUCUGCAUUCCAUCUCCCUCUUUCUCAGCCAUACAGGGUCACACAAAUAAAAGCUGGCAAAGAUAGACUAUUUGGGGAAUGUGAUAGAGAGGAAGAGAAUCAAAUUUGGAGGAAUGCAAACCAAGGAUCUACUGCUAAUUUCCCAGGUUUUAUUCCAUACUUCAACCAUAACACCUUUUUGUAGCUUCAGGGUACCACUAGAAUGCAACUGUGCAGUAGCAGCACCUUCAGUUUCUUAGCUUCAUUUUCUUUAACAACAAACUAUCAUAUUCUUAAAAAGCACCAGUUUUGAUCAUGUUGUGUAUCUGUGAUUUGGGAAGAGAAAGGUAUGUCAAGGUUAAACAUACUAAUAUCAGGUAGACAGGUGAAGGAGUUUUUCUCUAGCAGACUUGCCUUGAAAAGAGCCAAGCACCGUGUUAUUCACAUUCUAAGAAGGGACUACAAAAAAGAGCUAAAGCUCUAACAGUAGAUCACCUUUUUCUUGUGGGUAUUAAUGUUCCUAAUAUUGGAAAGACUGCAAGCCAGCCUUUGAAUGAGAAGCCCCAUAUGCUUUUUCAUGCAUUGUUUUAUUAGCGUAUGUAAGCGGUGACCUGUGGCAGCUCUGUCCUACUGAAGUGCUGAACCACCCAUCGUAUUCCACCAGGACGCUGUGCACGACCUGCAGCACUGUGAUGUUCCAUGGAGACAAAAGUAUAAAAAGCAGAUACAGUAAGUGGCCACAGUGCUGCUGUUUUCACAGAGGAAAAAAUAAUCUGAGCUGUGGGGGGUUAGUUUGAAGAGAAAAAAUAAUUUUUUCACCAUGAUUUACCUUUGUCAGACAAAGCCAUAGGGCAUAGUAGAGUGAAGUCAAAAUGCAGGGAGGCAGUACUUUCUCUUGCUGCA